AAAUUGAAGAGUUUGAUCAUGGCUCAGAUUGAACGCUGGCGGCAGGCCUAACACAUGCAAGUCGAACGGUAACAGAAAGCAGCUUGCUGCUUUGCUGACGAGUGGCGGACGGGUGAGUAAUGUCUGGGAAACUGCCUGAUGGAGGGGGAUAACUACUGGAAACGGUAGCUAAUACCGCAUAAUGUCGCAAGACCAAAGAGGGGGACCUUCGGGCCUCUUGCCAUCGGAUGUGCCCAGAUGGGAUUAGCUAGUAGGUGAGGUAACGGCUCACCUAGGCGACGAUCCCUAGCUGGUCUGAGAGGAUGACCAGCCACACUGGAACUGAGACACGGUCCAGACUCCUACGGGAGGCAGCAGUGGGGAAUAUUGCACAAUGGGCGCAAGCCUGAUGCAGCCAUGCCGCGUGUAUGAAGAAGGCCUUCGGGUUGUAAAGUACUUUCAGCGGGGAGGAAGGGAGUAAAGUUAAUACCUUUGCUCAUUGACGUUACCCGCAGAAGAAGCACCGGCUAACUCCGUGCCAGCAGCCGCGGUAAUACGGAGGGUGCAAGCGUUAAUCGGAAUUACUGGGCGUAAAGCGCACGCAGGCGGUUUGUUAAGUCAGAUGUGAAAUCCCCGGGCUCAACCUGGGAACUGCAUCUGAUACUGGCAAGCUUGAGUCUCGUAGAGGGGGGUAGAAUUCCAGGUGUAGCGGUGAAAUGCGUAGAGAUCUGGAGGAAUACCGGUGGCGAAGGCGGCCCCCUGGACGAAGACUGACGCUCAGGUGCGAAAGCGUGGGGAGCAAACAGGAUUAGAUACCCUGGUAGUCCACGCCGUAAACGAUGUCGACUUGGAGGUUGUGCCCUUGAGGCGUGGCUUCCGGAGCUAACGCGUUAAGUCGACCGCCUGGGGAGUACGGCCGCAAGGUUAAAACUCAAAUGAAUUGACGGGGGCCCGCACAAGCGGUGGAGCAUGUGGUUUAAUUCGAUGCAACGCGAAGAACCUUACCUGGUCUUGACAUCCACAGAACUUUCCAGAGAUGGAUUGGUGCCUUCGGGAACUGUGAGACAGGUGCUGCAUGGCUGUCGUCAGCUCGUGUUGUGAAAUGUUGGGUUAAGUCCCGCAACGAGCGCAACCCUUAUCCUUUGUUGCCAGCGGUCCGGCCGGGAACUCAAAGGAGACUGCCAGUGAUAAACUGGAGGAAGGUGGGGAUGACGUCAAGUCAUCAUGGCCCUUACGACCAGGGCUACACACGUGCUACAAUGGCGCAUACAAAGAGAAGCGACCUCGCGAGAGCAAGCGGACCUCAUAAAGUGCGUCGUAGUCCGGAUUGGAGUCUGCAACUCGACUCCAUGAAGUCGGAAUCGCUAGUAAUCGUGGAUCAGAAUGCCACGGUGAAUACGUUCCCGGGCCUUGUACACACCGCCCGUCACACCAUGGGAGUGGGUUGCAAAAGAAGUAGGUAGCUUAACCUUCGGGAGGGCGCUUACCACUUUGUGAUUCAUGACUGGGGUGAAGUCGUAACAAGGUAACCGUAGGGGAACCUGCGGUUGGAUCACCUCCUUA
rnacentral:rRNA from 1 species